GACGAACGCUGGCGGCGUGCUUAACACAUGCAAGUCGAACGAUGAUGCUCCAGCUUGCUGGGGUGGAUUAGUGGCGAACGGGUGAGUAACACGUGAGUAACCUGCCCCCUUCUUCGGGAUAAGCUUGGGAAACUGGGUCUAAUACUGGAUAUUCUGCAAUUGUCGCAUGGUGGUUGUGGGAAAGAUUUUUUGGUGGGGGAUGGGCUCGCGGCCUAUCAGCUUGUUGGUGGGGUGAUGGCCUACCAAGGCGUCGACGGGUAGCCGGCCUGAGAGGGUGACCGGCCACACUGGGACUGAGAUACGGCCCAGACUCCGACGGGAGGGAGCAGUGGGGAAGAUUGCACAAUGGGCGCAAGCUUGAUGCAGCGACGGCGCGUGAGGGAUGACGGCUGUCGGGUUGUAAACCUCUGUCGAUGGGGAACAAGGCCAUAUUUUUGUGUGGUUGAGGGUACCUGUAUAAGAAGCGCCGGCUAACUACGUG
rnacentral:rRNA from 1 species